rnacentral:rRNA from 1 species
UAGCAUAUCAAUAAGCGGAGGAAAAGAAACCAACAGGGAUUGCCCUAGUAACGGCGAGUGAAGCGGCAACAGCUCAAAUUUGAAAUCUGGCUUCGGCCCGAGUUGUAAUUUGCAGAGGAAGCUUUAGGCGCGGCACCUUCUGAGUCCCCUGGAACGGGGCGCCAUAGAGGGUGAGAGCCCCGUAUAGUUGGAUGCCUAGCCUGUGUAAAGCUCCUUCGACGAGUCGAGUAGUUUGGGAAUGCUGCUCAAAAUGGGAGGUAAAUUUCUUCUAAAGCUAAAUACCGGCCAGAGACCGAUAGCGCACAAGUAGAGUGAUCGAAAGAUGAAAAGCACUUUGAAAAGAGGGUUAAAUAGCACGUGAAAUUGUUGAAAGGGAAGCGCUUGUGACCAGACUUGCGCCGGGCGGAUCAUCCGGUGUUCUCACCGGUGCACUCCGCCCGGCUCAGGCCAGCAUCGGUUCUCGCGGGGGGAUAAAGGUCCUGGGAACGUAGCUCCUCCGGGAGUGUUAUAGCCCGGGGCGUAAUGCCCUCGCGGGGACCGAGGUUCGCGCAUCUGCAAGGAUGCUGGCGUAAUGGUCAUCAGCGACCCGUCUUGAAACACGGACCAAGGAGUCAAGGUUUUGCGCGAGUGUUUGGGUGUAAAACCCGCACGCGUAAUGAAAGUGAACGUAGGUGAGAGCUUCGGCGCAUCAUCGACCGAUCCUGAUGUUUUCGGAUGGAUUUGAGUAGGAGCGUUAAGCCUUGGACCCGAAAGAUGGUGAACUAUGCUUGGAUAGGGUGAAGCCAGAGGAAACUCUGGUGGAGGCUCGCAGCGGUUCUGACGUGCAAAUCGAUCGUCAAAUCUGAGCAUGGGGGCGAAAGACUAAUCGAACCAUCUAGUAGCUGGUUACCGCCG